rnacentral:rRNA from 1 species
UGGGGAAUAUUGGACAAUGGGCGCAAGCCUGAUCCAGCCAUGCCGCGUGAGUGAUGAAGGCCCUAGGGUUGUAAAGCUCUUUCACCGGUGAAGAUAAUGACGGUAACCGGAGAAGAAGCCCCGGCUAACUUCGUGCCAGCAGCCGCGGUAAUACGUAGGGGGCUAGCGUUAUCCGGAUUUACUGGGCGUAAAGGGUGCGUAGGUGGUCUUUCAAGUCGGUGGUUAAAGGCUACGGCUCAACCGUAGUUAGCCUCCGAAACUGGAAGACUUGAGUGCAGGAGAGGAAAGUGGAAUUCCCAGGGUAGCGGUGAAAUGCGUAGAUAUUGGGAGGAAAACCAGGAGCGAAGGCGGCUUUGUGGACUGCAACUGACACUGAGGCACGAAAGCGUGGGUAGCAAACAGG